rnacentral:rRNA from 1 species
GACGUAGGGCGCGAGCGUUGUCCGGAUUUAUUGGGCGUAAAGAGCUCGUAGGCGGCUCGUUGCGUCGGCUGUGAAAAACCCGCAGCUCAACUGUGGGCUUGCAGCUGAUACGGGGCGGGCUGGGGAUUCGGUAGGGGAGACUGGAAUUCCUGGUGUAGCGGUGAAAUGCGCAGAUAUCAGGAGGAACACCCGGUGGCGAAAGGCGGGGUCUCUGGGGCCGAUAUCGACGCUGAGGAGCGAAAAGCGUGGGGGAGCGAACAGG